CGCCACACCAACAUCUCCAUGCCUCCUCCUUUCCUCUUUCCCAUCCUCCUUUCUCUGCUCGUUGACCAUACCAAUGGAGACCACAGGCACUCAGAAAAUGGCGCCGAUGAGGAGGGUCGGCCCUUGGCGCAAACCCGCAUCCGCGAGCGGUGGCAGCGUCAGAUCCCUACGUCUCGCAGGGCCAGGCCUCCCGUCCGCGCCGCGACGCCGCCGGCGUGGAGGCCCGGGCUCGGGCAGCCGCCGCGGUGUCUGGUGCGCCGGUGAGUUCUCUAGGGACUGCGUGGUGGACUGACGCGGCUUCCGGCGAUGCCAAGCCGUAGAUCGGAGUCGCCGAGCCAUAAGUAGCAGCUGGAUAGGGGGUCGUGUUCGUCCGGGGGCGCCGCCAUAGGGUGCUGGUGGUGCUGCCGUCGAGGUUGGGGAUGACGCUCCGCUGCCUGGAUGCCGCGUUUGUCCUCCCCAUGCGCUGCCCUUCUCCCUCGGCUUCCUCUGCGCCUAAUUCGUCCUAGACCGCCUCGUCUACAGGGUACUGAAUCAGUCCCCCCUCCUCCUCCCGUCCAGGUUCGCGUUGAGUUCCGCUCCUUUCAGCUGUUUGUAUGGUUUGUGUUUGUUUCAGCUGCAGACCACGCUGACCAUAGUAAAUCUGGUGCUCAUGCUUUUUCAUACAUGAUGUUAAUUCUUGAUAUUAUCAGUUCUCUUCGUUUUGGGGUAAGAUUAUGUGUGCCUGAAUAUAGACACGCAUUUUCUGUAAGAGAUGAAAAUUCUUUUGUUCUCGGUGCGUAUGCUGGUUGCAAGAAUUAGAAGGCUUAGGAGAUCACAAGAAUGAGGUAUCACAUCCCCUCUAAAAGAUUCUCAAGGAUACUCCGCACGUUUUGUAACAAACAGGGUGUAACUUGAAUGAUGUUGCCAUUAUUCAUUUCAGCAAUCUCACACCUUGUUCUGUGGUUUUUAAUUUCGAAUCUUAAUGUUUCAAGAAUCUGUUUGUCUAACCAUUAUUUUGGUACACAAUUUUAUCAGUCGGACAUUGCAUGGAUAAUUCAGGGAAAUUAAAACUUGUGGGAUAACCUUGCUACCUGAACCUUUGUGAGUGCAACCAAAUUCGUGGACACUCAGAUUAUAUGUGUUACAUUGGUGAAUUUUUUUUCGUAGGCAAAUUUAGUACCGUAAAAUUGAACCUCAUAUUAUGAUUUUUUUUUUUUGUUGAUCUGGUUCCCCAACACAUAAGAAUACAAUGGGUAACAUAAUUCUUUGUGUAACAUCACCUUUUGAAUUUGUUUGCGUGGUUGUGUAUUAUGCCACACAAUACUUCCUGAAACCUCCAUUGUUCUACCAUUUAGAACCAGCCUUAUCCUUUAUUUACAUAAUUGAACUUUUGGAUUCAAAUCAGUAUUGAUGUGCAGCAGCAAGUCUUCCUCUUUUAGCAGCGCUGCAGUGGAGAAAGUUUAAUGAGUUUACAACCAUUUUAGUUCAUAGGACUGGAAUAGUAUAGGUACUACGAUAGUCGAUAGAUAGCUUUUAGACAUUCUUUAAAAGAAUUAUAUGAAACUUGCUUUGUGACUUCAAAUUUGUUCGCCUUCUUCCUGAUACAUGUACAAAGAAAGGGGUUUGUAGCUCCUGUUAAGCAGAAAGACCGGGCCAUUUACCUAGAUAUUGCUCUUCAGUAUCAAGCACGAGUGGUUUCUCAUCUUUCAUAUUAUAGACUGAAAGGCUUCAUAAUAAUGACACUGAAGCACAAAGUGGCGAGAGAGCAGUACUCAAGGAUAUACUUCUAAUAAAGGGGGGAAGAAGGUGCAAGAUUUGAACCUGAAACUGUAGUCAAUCGGUGCGGUUUCUGUUCAUUUUUUCCCUUGCACAAAUAAAUUUGCUAAUUAUAUUAUGACCAUACUUCCAGUAACAAUAAGAAGCUGUUAGGUAUCAUGCUAUCUGGUAUUGUUUCUUUUGUGAUUAGCUGUGAAAUGGUAGUUUAACAAACUAGCAAACCACCAACUCUUCUUGUAGUAAUUACCAUGUACAGGCUACUGAGUUUGAACCAAGGUUUUUUAGAGUAUAUAGUGGCAUCUUAGUUUGUGUCAUGUACUGCAUCAGCUAAAUGUAUUAUAUUAGCAUGUCUAAUUAUGCAAUGCAGCCAACAAUUGCCUUUUUUUAUUAAAUAAAAAAGUGGGUUGUACAUUGCUUAUGAAAAACACAUUCGCAUCUGAUGUAUUGAUAAGUCCUCCCUUCAUAUGGUACUAUAUUUGACAUUAAAAAUUCCUGGCCAUUGUACGUGUUACUUAUCAACUUAUCAACAUUUGGUCCUAGAAUAAUACUUUUAGCACCAGUCUAUGAAAGAACAAGUGUGCCGUUAUCAUUUACAGGACAGUUUCUCACUUUCAUGUUAAGAGUGACUUUUGUUGUGUUAUAUAAAAAAAAACAUGUUGAUCUUGAUACCACCUGGAUACAUAGAGCUAGGCAGUGUAUGACAAAAUACAAAUAUAUGGUUAAAUCAAGUACCAAAGCAUGAGUUAUAGGACUUCAAUCCCAUCAUAUUAGUUCCAGCAUCUGCAUCUGGUACAGUAGCUACACAAAGGAUGUCAUCAGAAUUCAGCUGGCACUAUAAUCCUGGUGCAGGAGAUGAUGAAGAGAGUUGGGCACAUGGUCUAACUCCUACAUCGUUUUGGUAGCAUUCAUAUGAUCUGCUUGAUGGUGGACCAGCCAGAUCUUUAUAAUCAGUUGCCGCCUCCGCCUUACAUCCCAGAUCUUCCGGCUUUGCCGCGGUUGCCACCGGAGGAAGGGCCCCUCCCAAAACCCGCUUCUCCCCUGAGUCGUGGGAGCCGUCGUCCUCUCCCCUUGGUGCGCGGCGCCGGAGAGAGCGACAAGGAGGUCCAGCAGUCCGUGUUGUCACCGUCCUGCCUCGGUGUGUGGUGUCGAAGAAAAAGACGAGGAAGUUGAGUAGUACUACAUAGGUCCCCAUGAUGAGCCAUACAAGAUUUAGGACUUAUAUUUUUGACCCAACACACAAAAGAUCACUUGCCCUUGUGAGAGAAAGAAAAGCGAAGCUAGCAUAGAUCCAUAUGCUUUUAGACUUCCAGGCAUGCAUAAGAAUAUACACUUGAUUAGUUUAGUGUGAAGAGAUCACUGUCCAUGUGUUACUUAGAUUAGCUUUGCUACUUUGAGGCAAUAGAGUUUUGAGGCCCACUGGUUCAUUAAAGAGGUAUUUUUUCUUCUACCUCUCACGCUCUCAUUGUUCUUUUAUUUUGUGCUUCAAGAUUGUUCUUGUGUUUCCGCUUAAUCUAAGGUUGUCAACAAUCAACUGUUUGCUAUUUGUAGGAUUUUAAUGUAAACACCCCCUCGGCCAGGACAUGCCUUCGGGUUCUUCCAAGUAGAAAGAUGAUUUUGUUAAAUCUAUCUUUAGAAUAAAUAUGAAAAGUUAACUUAGAGAGGAGUUGUAGAGAUAUAAAUUCAUAUACCAUUGUGUUCUCUGAAUAUUGCUAUGGCUGAUAUGCUACUUGAUUAAAUAACUUGUGGUUUUCUUAAACUAGCAAUGUUUCUAAUUUUCUGUUUUUGGGAGGAUAGCAGUAAUUUGCGUGGUGCUAACAUCCGUAAUUUGGUGAGGGCUUUCCAUUAAUUGGAUAUUGAGAUGUCCAGUUGUUGAUAUUUGGAAAAUCUGCUCAUCUUUUCUUUUGUUGGUCUCACCAUUGUAGUGCGAAUCCCAAAGAAGUGAAGGAAAUUUAUGGAAUUGUGUUGUGCUGCUAACUUUGCUUUUUUUUUUUCAUUAUGUAGUUGAGGCCCUUAAUCUUAGCUACAUAUACUUUUUUUGCGGAUUACUAGCUGGGGUUCAGUUCAAUUACUCGAUUCAAAGGUUCAGAUAUAUGUUUUUCGUAUUCAAUUCUUGCUCUUAUCAGUAGAAAUUGAUGGCGCUCUUUUCUCCUUUUUCAUGAUUUUAUGUUUUGAUGUUGGCAAAUUACUAGCAGAAAUAAAGCAAGACAUUUGUAGGCGGUGGAAAGAAGGUUAGCAUAUCUGAGUUCUUGGUGUUCAGUAUGAUAAAGGGAAACAUGUUUCUUUUUUUUAUUGUGGUCAUAUUAGUUAGUUCAUGUGAUCUUUCAUGCUCUAAAUAGACUAAGAUGAUACCUUGGGCAUAUACGUAAAUCCCAUGAUAUUGCUUAUAUAUGCAUGAAGAUGAAACAUUUAAUAGUCACAUAGUGGUUUUCUUGUUGGAUUUCUUUCUGCUUUGUAUGUGGGCAUUAAGAAAAUUUGCCAAUACUCCUUUUUUCUUCGAAUUAUAAAGAGUACUUGACUGCAAAGGAUAGGACCCUAUGCAAAAACUAAACACUCAUUCAAAAUUGGCACUAGCAUUCAUAUUUACGCAAGAUUUUGUUUUCUUUAGUUUCUAAUACCACAGUUGACGUUUCCUUUCUAGAACAAUUGCUCAAAAUAUUUAUUUUGAUAUUAGCAUUCAUAUUUAUGCAAUUCUAAUAUGCGUUGGUUGGUUCAUAUUCCCUAAUACUAUAGCUGGUAUUGUCUUCGUGGAAUAAGAUGGAAGAAGCGAGCGUUUACGCUGUCGAUAUUUGCAUUGGGGUUUAUGCAACACUAAUAAGUUUCAAUAGGUUCAGUGUUUUGGGAUUGUUUUGUCCAGCAAGAUCAAAAAGAAACAUGGCCAACUUCAAAGGUUGUGUAGUCAAGUCCAUGUGCCAGCAACAUAUAACCUGUGAUCUUUUAACCAGUGACAAAGGGGAGGACACACUGCUUCAGAACUGAAACAUUUACCUUUUGUGGAGCUGGCAAUUAGAGAGACAGUGCCCUGCUUUGUCCAGAUAGCUUCAGGUUUCUGCUGGAACGAUUAUGUCCCCGCAAUUGCAAAGCCUGCGAUUGAGCUACAGAAAUUCAGGGUUCCUAUCUUUAUGAAACAACACAUACACUGGCCGUGGAACCGGUCUCCCGCAUAGGUAACGGUCGAUGUCACUAACUACUGCUAGAUAAUCAGAGUAGUAUCAGAAGCUCCAUUGCUGGAGCAAGGCUUGCCAAACCCACAGUUGGAUGACACCGGUGGAUGCAAGACAGUGAUGCAUCCAUGGUUAUUUGAGAAAACAAACACUAUUUGAUGGGUCCACUUCAUCUCGCAAUGGACUUUAAGAUGGGGAAUUCAUUUGUCAGGUCAUGGUACUGGUACACUCUAAUUAUUCAGAAAAGGAUCCAGUAUACUAUUAUGGCAACGUCCAUCAGCCGAUUACGGAGAUCUUUGAGAAUCAGCUGUGGCCUUUUUAGGAUUUUAUCUCUCUGAAUUAUUUUUUGAAUGAGAUGUAGUUUUUGCGGCCAAGAUAAGCAUGAUACGCAUGCCCAAGUCUCAUGAUCAGUUUAUUUUCUUUUUGGUUCUGAUGCUAUGUAUUUUUUCUUAAUAAAACCUUAUGAUCUAUAAUUUCUC
rnacentral:rRNA from 1 species